rnacentral:rRNA from 1 species
UCGCCGCCGACGACGUCGCGAGAAGUCCACUGAACCUUAUCAUUUAGAGGAAGGAGAAGUCGUAACAAGGUUUCCGUAGGUGAACCUGCGGAAGGAUCAUUGUCGAUACCUGCAAAGCAGAGCGACCCGCGAACCGUUUUUCAACACUCGGGAUACCGGGGGGUGUCUAGCCACUCGGUAGCCCAAGGCUCUAGAUGCUCGGGGUGGAUCCCGCCCCAAGCGGAUGGAGCUCCAAACAAAACCCCGGCGCGCGAAGCGCCAAGGUACUCCAAAAACAUGGCAUGUGCCCGUAGCCCUGGGAUCCAGUGUGCUCGGGUCGCUGUUCAAUGUCAAAAAGUCAAAACGACUCAGAAUCCCGUGAACCAUCGAGUCUUUGACCGCAAGUUGCGCCCGAAGCCUUGGCUGAGGGCACGUCUGCCUGGGUGUCACGCAUCGCGUUGCCUCCAAACCCUUCACCCCUCGAAUGUUGCGGUGAUGGUCUGGAUGCGGAAGCUGGCCUCCCGCGGCCACGAGCCACGGAUGGCCCAAAUACGUGCUAGGGAAGCGAAGCGCCACGGCAUUCGGUGGUUGAUCCAAGCCCCAGAAGCAGUGCCGGCGGUGGCCGCAUAUGUCCCUAACCUACGACCCUAAAUGCUAACCAAUGCGACCUCAGGUCAGGCGGGGCUACCCGCUGAGUUUAAGCAUAUCAAUAAGCGGAGG